rnacentral:rRNA from 1 species
AUGCCGCUCCUCCCGACCAUCCCCGACCUCCUCGAGCUCGCCCACCGCCUCAACACCCCGAGACUGCCGGCGACCCCCAGUUCGACUACGGUGUUGACGGCCCCUCCUUGCCAGAGCAACCAGAUGUUGGAGCCCAGGAGCCAGACGCCACCAUCAACGAUGACUCCUACUACACCGGAGGUGCCUACUAUUACGUGGAGGCCGCUGACGACGACCAGGAGUAGUUUAGGAGGAUCCCAGGCAGGAGGCAUGCCCCUCUUUCGAUCUGUAUCCCAGUUUGUGCUCGCCUUCUUAAGGCAAACUUGUUUAACUUAUGUCUGUACUUAG